ACUAUCCCCAACUCCCCACUUCUGCCCCAAGGGUGGUCACUGCCUGUGAUACAUUCCUCAGUGUCGCCUCUGAGCCCAGGCCUCCUGCCACAAAGACUGGGCCGAGAGAUGGGGCUGGGUAAGCGGGUGCGCCUCCUGUUUGGGUUUCUUCGGGGUUUCUCUGUAGUGUCUGCUGCCCUCCUCCUGGCCUCCCAGGUUUCAGUUGUGUCUGACAGAGCAUUAGGUUUUCCUGUUACUGCUGUGUAAUAAUAAAGAAAGAUUCGGCUUUUGGCAAUCACAGACACUUUUUUCCCCUCCACCGAAUGUCAGGAUUGAAAGCUGCCUCCGAGUGGUUGGGGAUGGUUUUCUGACCCUACGGUAACUAGAUCUAAUAUAUAUCAUCAGAAAAUAUAUAUUGUAUGUUUACUCUUAUUUUCAGAAAGAGAAAAUGAAUAAAAAUGAUGACUUCAAGUGUGUCCCCAGCCAGUGUGUCAGGCCCGAGGCUCUUCUGGGCAGGAGUCCCGGGCUGCAGGGACCCCAGGGUCAAAGGCUCCACUGGUAUGUGCGGCAGCAGCCCCUCCCGUGGCACUCUGAGGAUAGCGCCUUCCCUCCAUCCUAUCCUUGGCAAACUGACUGCUGCAGCCUGCUGCUGUCCCUGACCCCUCUCCUGCCAUUGAUCCCACCUCCCCCAGAGCUGACACUGCCUCGCCUUGUGAUGCUGGCCAGAAGGCUGGGCUCCCCUUGUGGUUUUCCCCAGCUCCCUGCCAUCUAGGAGGCUCCAGGGGCCGUGGGAGAUCCCCUGGUCAGGGGCAGCCGUGGGAGAGGGGGUGGGCAUGUGGACCAGGCCAGCCGCCACCGAGGACACCUUGUGUGGCCCCAGUCCUGGCACUGGCCUGGCUCCUAGUGAGGGUGGCCAGACCCUGGGCAGGGCUUCGUCGGCUGAGCUGCCUCCUGGCUGGUGGGCCUCAGCCUGCUUCUGAGGGAGGAGCAGCCCAGGUGUCCCUCAGCCUGUUUCAGCUCCAGCCGCUCCCUCGUGUUCUGUCUGCACUUAGUCCCCCCACGUGCUGCCCACCUCACACACACCGCUGCCUUCCUGCCUGCUGGAAGCUGGGUGAGACAGCCUGCCCUCUUGCAGAGCAUCACAGGGGCACCUGGCCCUCCACUGCCCCACCUCUGACCUCUGUGGUGUCACUGUGCUGCCCUGGGGACCCCAGGGUCAAGGGCUCGAGCUGUGUGCCCAGCUGUGGCCCCUCCAAAGAGUCCAGAACCAACCAAGGCCCUUGACUGUGCAACCCUGGUUCUUGCCUCGCCUGAGAGUCUCUGCCCAAAUGCAUCUGGAGUCCCUGCCCUGCCAUGGAACUAGAGGUUGGUGAGCCCUUAAUGAGAGGGACUCUCACCCUGCCAUGUCGUCUGCCUCCCCUGAGCCCAACACCUUCGCACUCUGCCUGGGAAGCAGCUGCACAGGCCACCACGCCCAUGGCCUGCCAGCUCAGCCAUUCAGGGAGCUUGGCACUUCACCUCCCCACCCCUCCAUCGCAAGGUCGGAAGAGUGCAAGUGUGGGAUCGCUGUCCCCACCGGAGGCCCAGGACAAGCCACCCGGGUGAGGAGAGCUGGCAAGAAAGGAGGACCAUCCCUAGACACCUUGUGUUUGAAUGAGUCUGCUCAAGCCUCAGUACUUGUCUGCUCUUCAUUUUUGCAUUUCAA
rnacentral:lncRNA from 1 species